rnacentral:lncRNA from 1 species
UUACUUUGUUUUGAUCAGCUGAGGCUGGGCCUCCGUCUUUGUGAAGUUUCAAGAGAAGAGCCAGGAGCUACUCAGCAAUAAUUGCUUUUUGAAACGUACUCUUUCAGGGCGAAAGCAAAGAGCUGGUUUUCUGCGCUAGCCCAAUAAAUGCUAUUUAUGAAGAUGGACCUGUUGAACUACCAGUACUUGGACAAGAUGAACAACAAUAUCGGCAUUCUGUGCUAUGAAGCAUGCCUUGAAAGGAGAGCGGUUCUUAGGUGCUGUUUCAGGACAAAGUUUGUUGUUUUGAUCAGAGGCUUCAGGGGUUACAGUGGAGAGGGCGGGGGCGGGGCGGGGAGGUGUUGAAAUAUACAUUGUUAAAAGUUUGCUUUAUGCUUGCUACAUACUAACUUUUCACUCUUUUAGCGUUUUUACAGUGUAUUUCUUUUUUUUAUUUCCGUUGGUGUUUUUUUAGAGGAAGAACUUCUAGGACCCAAGUAAAAAGUGAAACAUGUCCGGUUCUCUCUCUCUCUUUUUGAUACUCAUUUUAAACACACACCAUCUACAUACAGUAUUCCUGUUGUAUUCCAACAGCCAGCAAGCACUUUGCAUUUUCCUGUAGAGGGGAACAGAAAGUUACAGUGAGUUUUUGUUUUCGGGAGCGAUUGUCCCAAACAAUGAAGAAUUUUUCUAUUCAGUUUGGGGGACUGGGAGGGCACCCAUGUCACAGAGCACAGACUGGCUCUUUGUCUGAUUUACCAUUUCCUGUUCAGCUCUGGGAGAGUUCUGACAUUGAACGAUGUUCCUCCACAGUUCCUCCACACUCUGGUCCCUUGUGGAAGUGAUUGCACAACGCACCAACCAGAAAGCUAAAUCCAAAAAAAAAAGGGAAGAAAAGAAAAAAAAAAAAGAGCCCUGAAUUCUUACUGUUUAUUACCUCCUGCUAACCGUGAGGUAUUUCCCCACUGUCCUGUAGUAUUUCAGGCUGUCUGUUAGUAGCAAGGAGAGAAAAAGCGGUUCCUUAAUCUGUUGAAACUUCAUCUACGUGCGAUUUGAAAAAGUGGUAAUGGUCUGAGUCUGAGUCGCUGGAGACAGGGGAAUUCAGCUUGGGCUUGGCAGGGGGAGUGUUUUUUUGUUGUAACCACAUACAAAUCGAGGUGGCAUCUCCUCUCUGAUUCAGCAGGAGAAGUUUUCAUGUUUUUCUCUUCGCAUUUUUCUUGAAAAAGAAAACACUGGGGAAACUUGGAAGGGUUAUCUGACGUAGUUGUAUCUUUUCACGUAAAAACUUUGGGCCUGUUGCCUAAGCAGUUGAAAACUUACCCUUUAUCCUUCAAGGGAAAAAAAAAAACACCCUCAUUCAUGUUGUUUUUUAUUUAACUCUGUAGAUAAGAAUCUCAUCUUUCAAAGUUGUUUUUUGAAGUUUUUUUUUUUUAACUCCUACUUGUUCCAGGAAUGCGAAUUUUGGUGAAUUGCUUUCUCUGAAUCUGCUGCUUCUGAAGUCACUCACUUAAAAGGCAGACUUUACAGUGGUCUAAGCAGCAGUGGACUGGGCCUGUUUCAUGUGAAAUUAACAUAUUGCAGCUAGCUAAAAAAAAUUUUUUUUUUUUGGUGAACACAAAAUUAAAAAUUUUAAGGCCGUUUCUGUGGGAUUAUCUUUGUUAUUGAGUAACAUGAUAUUUUCAAAACAAACCAUAAUGAUCAGCCCAAAAGAGGAAUUUAGAGAUUCUUCGGAAAUAGAUACCACAUUAAUUUUUUGUGUCAGCAGGUGGUGAGGAAAAGCUGGCAGGGAACUUGUCCAGCUUGAUCUGUUGUAGAAGGUACCAUGCAGGACACUGGUCGUUUUCUAGGCUCCCUCCUUAAUUGGGCAGAAGAAACUUUGAUUUUGAAAGUUGAGUAGAUAUGUAAGAUGAUGUGCUGUGGUCUGUUUGGUUUAAACAUCUGCUGCUAUUUUCCUUAUUAUGAGAGUUAACAUUAUUUUAACACCAAAAUAAAUACACAGGAAAUGAAGAAAAGCACAGCAAAAUCAGAGUGGCGUUUAUAGUGGGUUGUUUAUGUCCUCGUGGUUUUCUCAGUGUAAACACUGCACACAUCUGCUCAGAACUCAAAAUGGUGUUUAGAAGAUGGGCAGAAAUCUUAGACGGGACUUUUUUUUUUUUAAAGAAAUGUUGGAACUGUUAUUGUUCCUUUUAAGCCCAACACUUUGAGAAUAAUUGCAUUUAACCUAUCAGCGCACCAGCAUUCCAGGGAAGUUAUUUGGAAAAUGGAAUGUACAGUUGGUUGGUAGCGUUUAAUUUCAUAUAGGGCCCAGGCAUAUUUCACAUCUCUUAUGAAUAAGGGACAAAUUAAUUUUCUUGAUUUUUAGUUUUAAAAAGAUGUUGAUGGUUCAUUAUUCCCUAGGUUUGUUAUACUCUUUAGUUGUGUUGGAACUGUGCUACACAAAAAUAAAACAUGUGUCUGCACCAUCAUUCCUCAGCCUCUCUUGGCACUUAGACACAAAUAAGUCUUUCUCAGCCAGUUAUCUCUUAGCAUACAAAGUCUUCCUGAAAAUCCCGCAUUUAGGGUAUGCUCUAAAUCGUUUAGAUGUGGACUCUGCUUGGUGACUGCUCCCUGGCACCAAAGAACCUACAAGCAUAAUUGACAAGAGAAUCAAGGGAAAAUUAAGCAUAAAUGGUAGACUUGGGGUGAGGGCCUGUUGGGAUAGAAGAUUGUCAAAGGGCAGGAACAAUGUGCAUUUGGUGAACUUCUGGAAAAUACUUACUUUCGUCAGUGAUGAGGCAAUCUGCAGAACUCUGUUCAAAAACCUUUGGUUUAUUACUGAAGCUCUCAACACUUACCCAGAUUAUCAUUCGUCACCCAACCAACUGAAUGUUGAAACUAUACCCACCUGAAUCCCAGUUUUGCCUCUGCCUGCAUAGAAAGGUCAUGGGCUGCUGCAGCCUUCGUCCCGUACGUCUUCCCCCCCCCCACCCCCCCCACCACCGCCUGAUCUCCUGAGAAUGUGCCCCUAGUGGAUUGAAAGCGGCAUGAGGGCAGGGCUUUGUGUUGAUCAACACUGUCUCCCUGAGUCCUGGCACAGUGCCUGGUGUGGCUCUCAGGAGGUGGCUGACUCAGAAGUCAAUGAAAUCUCUCCAUCGGCAGCUGCAGUCAAUCCUGUGUAAUUUAGCACUUAAUUACAUACUGUCUUGUGUUCGCUCAUUAUCUAAUUAUUGCAGAGCUACCCAGGGCCUGAGAUACAGCUAAUACAUUUGCCUCGUUUUUGCUGAGGAGGUUGAGGCUUAGGAGAUAAAUUGUCCAAGUUUGUUCAGAAAGUUGGUAACAGAAUUGAAUUGGGACGAGAACCCAGUUGGUGGUUUCGACUCUAACGUGAUCCUUCUCUUCCACACCCCCUCUCCAAGGUUACUUUAUGUCUUGUCUCCUUAAUUAGGCAUCACCUCCUUGAUGUUAGGGACCAUGGUUCCGUCCCAGACACCUUCACAGCCCACAGCACUGGCGUUGCGUCUGUCUGGGAUUACGCUGUGCCGUUGAGCCUGACCUGGAUUCUUCUUGGCUCCAGAACCAGUUGCUGGUCUGGACUCCGAAACCAUUGUGACAUUCAGGGACGAUGGUGGCGAGGCUGCUCGGAGCUCACGCUCCUUGUUGCUCUGGCACUUAGCUUUGCUUUGCUUUUUUUCUGAGUGUGCAGAAGAGGAGGCCCUGUGUGGACACCAGUGCACACAGAGUUUCCUCAGGGGGAGCUGGGAGCAGGUCAGACCAUUGACUCUUCUCAAGAUGGCUGCUGGUUCUAUUUACAUAACUACUUCGUGCUGAAAACUUAGGGCCUAAUAAAUGUGCUCAUGGUUGGCUGUGGCUUUAAGCUGCUGUUAAUGAUACUUUAAUUAUGGGUUAAGAGCCAUUAGUGUGUAAUUUGGUAGAAGAAUUCUCCGCUUUUCAUUUAAUGGUGUGAUUUAUAUUGGGAGAAAGUAAGAAUAGAUUGCAAAUUGUGAUCUUCUGAAAGCUUAAAAGAAGAGUAUUCCCAGUGCCUCACCUUUUAGAGCUGUUCGUUGUUUCAAGGACCUAACUCUCACUUGUUUCACCGCAGGCUAUGUUUAAAUUAAUUUUCUGGGAUUGAAAGGAAAAUGUACACUGGGGAGGUGGAGUGGGGUAGGACCCUGCUAGAGAUAUAUGAGCAGGGCUGGGCACCGGAUUUCUUUUGUUUUCUGCCAGUUUAACCACUGGCAGUGGAAUAGAGUCCUGGUUUCAUUGUUCUUUGUCUAAUGAGCUCAGAGGCAUCAGGAAACUUAGGACCUCUGGGUACUGCUAAGGUGAAAAGGGCAUAGAGCAGGGCCAUUUUGUACCAGCUCUGUUCAGUCCCCAGCCCCAGAUAUCAGGUGACCAGCUCUUAAUCCAGGGGUGUAUUCUGAGGCGGAACAUCUGUAACUAUUUUGCUGUGGAAAUUCAUUUUACUGUAGCUUUUAAUUUGAGCGGGUAAGGGGGGAGGGAGAGAUUGGGAGGAGAUGGAUUAAUAAGACAUAUGCCCAGGUGAGCCCAAGAGUCCUAUGAGAGAUCUGGCCAGCUCAGAUCCCUUCUAAUGACCAUGUGUGUGAAGGGAAGGCGUGACCAUCCCCCCUUCCUCCCAGUUCUCCUCCCUUCUUUCCCUGCCCUCCUCUGGAAGGAUUAUUUCACUUGGCUGUUUCUUGGAACCUACACAUGGCUUUGUUUUCAAAGGCGGAUUUCUCUUCCUUCCUUCCUCCUUUCUUUCCCCAUUGUCUGCAUGGCCUUCUCUUCCUAGGCUGUUUGGAUUCGUCACUGGAAAGAAAGAUUUUUAAAAAAACAAAAAAAAUUUAUGCCAUAAGGUGCAAAGAAAUUCCGCCUCUGUGUGUGAGAAGAUUCAAAACCUCUCAUAAAGUUUGGUCCUGCUUGAUUGUGAAGCUUGUGAGGAUGGUGUAGAAACCCUGGGUUGUGUUGUGUUGAAGAAAUUAGAUCCAGAUUUAGCACUUCUGCAUGUACACAAGUACAUAAAACUAGUUUUACCAGGGAUUGUUUCUGGCUGUAUCUGUUUUAUCUCUGUGCAUCUUAACGUGUCUUCUGUGAAUGUUUAUGCUUCGUGGUCUCCGUGUAUAUACUUCGUGAGCUCCACGAAGCUGGGUUCUAGCCUAGCACAGCAACAUCAAGUUUGUCUUAGAAAGUCUUUUUUUUUUUUAAUGAGGUCAAAUAUCAGCCUCCCCCAACCACCACCACCACCACCACACACACACACACACACCACACACACACACACACACACACACACACACACACACACACACACCACUUAAUUUUAAAAGCAGAGUCUGAAAGUUUUCUCUCUCUUGCUCUCUUUCUCUCUCUUCCUUCCUGAAUGUUACAUGUUCUACUAAGCUCUAAGGGUUAUUUCCAUCAGUUUGCUUUCUUAUCUUGCCUUUUCCACAGGGUUUUUUUUUUGUUUUGUUUUGUUUUGUUUCCUGCCUUUCUUAGAAUUCUGUAGAUUGUUUUAAUUUCAGGGUAUGGUGUACAGGAUAUGUUUUAAUCCUGACAGUGUGGAUCACUACCAGUUGAAAGAGUGUUUAUUUACCCUAAAAAAAUAGAAAAUCUAUUCUGCAAGUUGUUUUUAAUUUGUUGCUGUUUACAUGAUCUUGCCGAACUCUUAACAUUUCACCCAUCUGUUUGCAAAGAAGUCUGUAAACAUAAUGAACUGAAAUAUAUUUAGUAAGUGAUCAGUGAAGACUCAGUACUGUCCUUUUGUCACCCAAUAUCCACUCUCUUAAAUAUUUAUGGAAUGCCUCUACUCUGCUAAGGAAUGUGUUAGGUCUUGGGCUUGGUCUUUCUGUCUGUGUCUGUCUGUCUCUCUCCUUGUCUUUGUCUCUUAACAUUUUU